UCUUUACAGAUUAAAGGAGAGGAGAAUAGCCGCGGCACGGUUGCUGAUUGAAAAUUCAUGAUGCCUGAGAUAAUUUCAAAGACCAUGUCCGCUGGUGUGGAAUAUCUCGUAAAAAUCUUGACAAUUGUAUAGUUUUAAUACUUAGUUAGCAUCAAAUCAGAAAUUCCCAGGUAUCUCAUUGCAUAAAAAGCCAAAUCCAGUGAGAAUGAUGUGCACCGGAUCUUAAUUUUAUUACAAUGGACUUUUAACAGAGUAAACUAGACGCUGUUUUUACUUGAAGUUUAGUGUUUAUUAAACUGUCGCUGAUCUCAGACAAUGUUUACAUUAUGAUAAAGAAGUUCAUGAGGUACUUAAAGGGAGACAAGGUUCUAUUACGUUGUUUUGUAGAGAUAUAACCUAGAGAUAUUAUUAAAAGAGAAAAAAACACAACGGCUAUUCAAGCUAUUGUAGUAGGCGCGUCCCUGAAGCAGGUGGUGCAUUUAUGAAAAUUUAAAGUUCCCGAAGCUGGUUGUUUUCCCUGAUCCAAUCAUGUCAAAGAAAACGUUUCGAUUGUUAUUUCGCCCACUCAGGGUUGAUAAAUGUUCGCAAAAUUUAAUAUUUUGUAAUAAUUAACUGCAUGUGUUAGCAUAAUUUAGACUCGUUAAAACGAUUUUGCAAUACACCAAAGAAAAUUGUCGUAAAGAAAUAUACUUAAAAUUAAAAACAAUUACGCUGAGAAUGGUUGAAAAAUAAGAAAACAAUAAGAACAUAGAGAGAGCUGAAGUUUUAUUAAUAAGACUCUUAAAAAACACAAACACAUACUCGAAAACAUGAAGAACAACUUUCAUGGAAAUAUUUUCACUGAAUCAAUUGUUACAUUAUUCGAAACGUGUAUAUACUUAUAAACGUGAUGUUACAUUGCAAAUACUUGCAACAUACGUACAACAAAAUAAAUUUAUAAUGCUCAAAAUAUAGAAACAUAAGAACAAUUUCAAGCUAAACAUAUCAAAAACAACUCAAGGUAAAGCCAAAGAUCAAAAAAGUGUAUAUCAAGCUUUGCUACAGUACAUACUAAUAACAUUUUUAUAAGAACAAAUAUAUACGACUAAAGCAAACUUUCUAACUUUCCAGGUGUCGCACCGUUCAUCCUGUUUCAAUAAAAUAUUAUCAAUCCAUUUCCAUUUCAAUUAAAAACUGUUAUGUGUUGGUAUUUUGUGUAUAGCUAUCUCGAAAAUGUUUGUAUAACUUGAUUUAGCUAGCACUGAUUAAAAAUGGAUCUUUCAAGACAAUACUUUUGUCCAAAACAUAAUAAAACUCAACAUGUCUGGUGUAUAUCGAUAAUUAUCUUCACUGUUAAUCAAUAUUUUCAUCUGGUAUGACUUGUAGAUUUUUUUAAAAAAUCAGUAGCUUGGAUUGCAUACACAUACAUGUUUGUGUUAAAAACAUAGUCAUUCGAAUUUUCAUACAACGGUCCUGGUAAUGCUGAUCUGGUUUUCUAACGCUGUGUAGCUGAUCAAGGUUUUCUACCUCUAUACUGAGUUUGUAAAACGUGUGUUUGAAAUGAAAAGUGUGUGAAAUCCCGAAAUGCAAUUCCUUGUAACAUACCAUGCGGACGAUAGUUGGAAGAAGGCGCUUGAAGAUAAAGGAGUUAUAAAGUAUAUAUAUAAGUUAUUUAUCAAGUAAAUCUUAUUUUAAACUAUUAAAAAAAGUUCUUUUAAGAACUUUGCUACCACAUAGUAAGUUAUUUUAAUUUUUAUAGUUUUUUGAAUCAUUAGUGUCUGUUUUUCUUUUCUUUUUCGGGCAUUGUUCGGGUCUCUUCGGGGUUUUUCGGGCAAAUACCUGAUUUUUUUUAAAACGCCGAACUCGCCCGAAAACGCCCGCACUUUUUACGGCGUAUGCAGCUUAUC